GGUGAAUGCUGGCGGCGUGGAUGAGGCAUGCAAGUCGAAUGAAUUUAGAUUCACGGCAGACGAGGUAGGAACACGUAGGUACGUACCCCAAAGUCAGGGAUAAUCCGUCGAAAGGCGGGAUAAUACUUGAUGGUCCCGUAAGGGUAAAGAUUUAUCGCUUUGGGAACGGCCUGCGGUCUAUCAGCUUGUUGGUAAGGUAA
rnacentral:rRNA from 1 species